UGGGGAAUAUUGCACAAUGGGGGAAACCCUGAUGCAGCGACGCCGCGUGAACGAAGAAGGUAUUCGUAUCGUAAAGUUCUGUCCUAUGGGAAGAUAAUGACAGUACCAUAGAAGAAAGCUCCGGCUAAAUACGUGCCAGCAGCCGCGGUAAUACGUAUGGAGCGAGCGUUGUCCGGAAUUAUUGGGCGUAAAGGGUACGCAGGCGGUUUAAUAAGUCGAAUGUUAAAGAUCGGGGCUCAACCCCGCAAAGCAUUGGAAACUGAUAAACUUGAGUAGUGGAGAGGAAAGUGGAAUUCCUAGUGUAGUGGUGAAAUACGUAGAUAUUAGGAGGAAUACCAGUAGCGAAGGCGACUUUCUGGACACAAACUGACGCUGUGGUACGAAAGCGUGGGGAGCAAACAGG
rnacentral:rRNA from 1 species